rnacentral:rRNA from 1 species
ACUCCUACGGGAGGCAGCAGUGGGGAAUAUUGCACAAUGGGCGCAAGCCUGAUGCAGCCAUGCCGCGUGUAUGAAGAAGGCCUUCGGGUUGUAAAGUACUUUCAGCAGUGAGGAAAGGUGGGUAUGUUAAUAGCAUACNCAUUUUGACGUUAGCUGCAGAAAGAAGCACCGGGCUAAACUCCGUGCCAGCAGCCGCGGGUAAUACGGAGGGUGCGAGCGUUAAUCGGAAUUACUGGGCGUAAAGCGCAUGCAGGUGGUUUGUUAAGUCAGAUGUGAAAGCCCGGGGCUCAACCUCGGAAUUUGCAUUUGAAAACUGGCAAAACUAGAGUACUGUAGAGGGGGGUGAGAAUUUAUCAGGUGNAGCGGUGAAAAUGCGUAGAGAUCUGAAGGAAUACCGGUGGCGAAGGCGGCCCCCCUGGACAGAUNCUGACACUCAGAUGCGAAAGCGUGGGGAGCAAACAGGAUUAGAUACCCUGGUAGCUACGAGU